GUGUCAGCAGCCGCGGUAAUACGGAGGAUCCGAGCGUUAUCCGGAUUUAUUGGGUUUAAAGGGUGCGUAGGCGGCUUUAUAAGUCAGGGGUGAAAUUCGGCAGCUUAACUGCCGGCGUGCCUUUGAUACUGUAGAGCUUGAAUUGGUUCGAGGACGGCGGAAUGUGACAAGUAGCGGUGAAAUGCAUAGAUAUGUCACAGAACUCCAAUUGCGAAGGCAGCUGUCCAGGUCCAUAUUGACGCUGAUGCACGAAAGCGUGGGUAUCGAACAGGAUUAGAUACCCUGGUAGUCCACGCCCUAAACUAUGAUAACUCGAUGUUGGCGAUAUACAGUCAGUGUCCAAGCGAAAGCGUUAAGUUAUCCACCUGGGGAGUACGGCCGCAAGGCUGAA
rnacentral:rRNA from 1 species